GCCAAUCAAAACAUGUGUCUGAAUGUAUCAUUGACAUUCGAUGACAUCAGACCAGACAUCCAGUCAAUUGCUUUGUGGUCAAUGUUCAGAACCAAAGGCCUGUAUCAUGAUGCGAGGUUAGUGUGAUAAAUAGGGGGACUUACUUUAAGUGUUUACUGUAAGUGUGACUAGUAAAGAUUUGCAAUAGAUUAUGUUUUGAUUUGUGUCAUGCUGCAUAUUCCCAAACAACUUUCCAAAUAAUCAGAUUAUCACAAACCAGGUUUUGGGGCCCUGGGACAGUUGCCUUCUUUGCAUGGUUGGUAAUCCAGCCUUGUCUACAAAUGGAUUUCAGUUUUCUUUAUUUAGAAAGAAGAUUAAUGUUAUGUAAUCUAACAUAUUUCUGACAAAUACAUGUUCAUUUCUCUGUCUCCUGAACAGAACUGUAGCUGCUGCUUUGGAUGUGAUGAGUUUUGUAUUUACACAGAACAACCUGUCAUCAUCUACUGUGUCUGUUCUCAUUUACGUUUCACUGCUCUGGAUGAAAACUGAGCUGCUGCAACAGAAAUACAGGACGGAUGUACAGCGUGAACUUCUGCUGAAUACAAACAGAAAUUAUAUGAGAUUUUGCUGAAGCAGAACUUUUUUAUUGCAGUAAAUUUAGAAGCAGAGGUUUAGAAGACAUACAGUGAUCCAACUGCAACAGUUGAUCAGGUCUUCAUGUUGAAGCUGAAUGAAAGCAUGAACAUCAGAGGAUGACGUCAUAUCUUCUUGGCACACACAAAGGGUAUCUCCUCC